ACUGCGAAUGGCUCAUUAAAUCAGUUAUCGUUUAUUUGAUAGUACCUUACUACUUGGAUAACCGUGGUAAUUCUAGAGCUAAUACAUGCUUAAAAUCCCGACUGUUUGGAAGGGAUGUAUUUAUUAGAUAAAAAAUCAAUGCCUUCGGGCUCUUUGAUGAUUCAUAAUAACUUUUCGAAUCGCAUGGCCUUGUGCUGGCGAUGGUUCAUUCAAAUUUCUGCCCUAUCAACUUUCGAUGGUAGGAUAGUGGCCUACCAUGGUUUCAACGGGUAACGGGGAAUAAGGGUUCGAUUCCGGAGAGGGAGCCUGAGAAACGGCUACCACAUCCAAGGAAGGCAGCAGGCGCGCAAAUUACCCAAUCCCGACACGGGGAGGUAGUGACAAUAAAUAACGAUACAGGGCCCUUUUGGGUCUUGUAAUUGGAAUGAGUACAAUGUAAAUACCUUAACGAGGAACAAUUGGAGGGCAAGUCUGGUGCCAGCAGCCGCGGUAAUUCCAGCU
rnacentral:rRNA from 1 species